rnacentral:rRNA from 1 species
GACGAACGCUGGCGGCGUGCUUAACACAUGCAAGUCGAACGGAAAGGCCCUGCUUGCAGGGUACUCGAGUGGCGAACGGGUGAGUAACACGUGGGUGAUCUGCCCUGCACUUCGGGAUAAGCCUGGGAAACUGGGUCUAAUACCGGAUAGGAGCCAUUUUUAGUGUGAUGGUUGGAAAGUUUUUUCGGUGUAGGAUGAGCUCGCGGCCUAUCAGCUUGUUGGUGGGGUAAUGGCCUACCAAGGCGGCGACGGGUAGCCGGCCUGAGAGGGUGGACGGCCACAUUGGGACUGAGAUACGGCCCAGACUCCUACGGGAGGCAGCAGGGGGGAAUAUUGCACAAGGGGCGCCAGCCUGAUGCAGCGACGCCGCGGGGGGGAUGACGGCCUUCGGGUUGAAAACUCCUUUCGCUAGGGACGAAGCUUUUUGUGACGGUACCUAGAUAAGAAGCACCGGCUAACUACGUG